rnacentral:tRNA from 1 species
GUUAAAUUAGUUUAAAUAAAACGUUAAGUUGUGGUCUUAGAAAUUAUAUUUAACU